rnacentral:rRNA from 1 species
ACGGGUGAGUAAUGCUUAUCUUACUUGCCAAUUAGUGGGGGAUAACCCUGGGAAACCAGGGCUAAUACCGCAUUUGUUGCUUCGGCAAUGAAAGGGAAUCGCAAGAUUCUCGCUAAUUGAGAGGGAUAAGCCGUAUUAGUUAGUUGGUGGGGUAAUAGCCUACCAAGACAGUGAUGCGUAGCCAGGCUGAGAGGCUGAGUGGCCACAAGGGAACUGAGACACGGUCCCUACUCCUACGGGAGGCAGCAGUGAGGAAUUUUCCACAAUGGGGGCAACCCUGAUGGAGCAAUACUACGUGAAGGAGGAAGGUCUACGGAUUGUAAACUUCUGUUAGUGCGGAAGAAGGGCUAAGCGCAAGUUUAGCCUUGACGGUACGCACAGAGAAAGCCACGACUAACUACGUGCCAGCAGUCGCGGUAAGACGUAGGUCGCGAACGUUAUCCGGAAUUAUUGGGCGUAAAGGGUGCGUAGAUGGUAUAAUAAGUUAUCAGCGGUAAAUCGGGGCUCAACCUCGUGGAAGUCGGUAAUACUGUUAUACUUGAGUGCAGGAGAGGUUAACGGAACUCCAUGUGGAGCGGUAAAAUGCGUAGAUAUAUGGAAGAACAUCAAUAACGGCGAAGGCAGUUAACUAUUCUGUUACUGACAUUGAGGCACGAAAGCGUGGGGAGCAAAACGGAUUAGAUACCCGUGUAGUCCACGCCCUAAACGAUGAGUACUAGAUAUUGGGAACUUGAUUCUCAGUGUCGCUAGUUAACACGGUAAGCACUCCGCCUGGGUAGUACGGUCGCAAGGCUGAAACUCAAAGGAAUUGACGGGGACUCGCACAAGCAGUGGAGCAUGUGGUUUAAUCCGAUACAACGCGUAGAACCUUACCAAGGCUUGACAUGUUCGGCAAAGUUAUUGAAAGGUAAUGGAGGUUAUCCGGACACAGGUGCUGCAUGGCCGUCGUCAGUUCGUGCCGUGAGGUGUAUGGUUAAGUCCUAUAACGAACGCAACCCUUGGGCUUAGUUACCAGCAUUCAGUUGGGGACUCUAAGCCGACUGCCUGAGUAAUCAGGAGGAAGGAAAGGAUGACGUCUGGUCGUC